GGGUUGUGAGGUUAAGCGACUAAGCGUACACGGUGGAUGCCCUGGCAGUCAGAGGCGAUGAAGGACGUGCUAAUCUGCGAAAAGCGUCGGUAAGGUGAUAUGAACCGUUACAGCCGGCGAUGUCCGAAUGGGGAAACCCAGUGUGAUUCGUCACACUAUCGUUAACUGAAUACAUAGGUUAACGAGGCGAACCGGGGGAACUGAAACAUCUAAGUACCCCGAGGAAAAGAAAUCAACCGAGAUUCCCCCAGUAGCGGCGAGCGAACGGGGAGCAGCCCAGAGUCUGAAUCAGCUUGUGUGUUAGUGGAACGGUCUGGAAAGUCCGACGGUACAGGGUGAUAGUCCCGUACACCAAAAUGCACAGGUUGUGAACUCGAAGAGUAGGGCGGGACACGUGGUAUCCUGUCUGAAUAUGGGGGGACCAUCCUCCAAGGCUAAAUACUCCUGACUGACCGAUAGUGAACCAGUACCGUGAGGGAAAGGCGAAAAGAACCCCGGCGAGGGGAGUGAAAAAGAACCUGAAACCGUGUACGUACAAGCAGUGGGAGCACCUUCGGGUGUGACUGCGUACCUUUUGUAUAAUGGGUCAGCGACUUAUAUUCUGUAGCAAGGUUAACCGUAUAGGGGAGCCGCAGGGAAACCGAGUCUUAACUGGGCGUUAAGUUGCAGGGUAUAGACCCGAAACCCGGUGAUCUAGCCAUGGGCAGGUUGAAGGUUGGGUAACACUAACUGGAGGACCGAACCGACUAAUGUUGAAAAAUUAGCGGAUGACUUGUGGCUGGGGGUGAAAGGCCAAUCAAACCGGGAGAUAGCUGGUUCUCCCCGAAAGCUAUUUAGGUAGCGCCUCGUGAACUCAUCUUCGGGGGUAGAGCACUGUUUCGGCUAGGGGGUCAUCCCGACUUACCAACCCGAUGCAAACUACGAAUACCGAAGAAUGUUAUCACGGGAGACACACGGCGGGUGCUAACGUCCGUCGUGAAGAGGGAAACAACCCAGACCGCCAGCUAAGGUCCCAAAGUCAUGGUUAAGUGGGAAACGAUGUGGGAAGGCACAGACAGCCAGGAUGUUGGCUUAGAAGCAGCCAUCAUUUAAAGAAAGCGUAAUAGCUCACUGGUCGAGUCGGCCUGCGCGGAAGAUGUAACGGGGCUAAACCAUGCACCGAAGCUGCGGCAGCGACACUAUGUGUUGUUGGGUAGGGGAGCGUUCUGUAAGCCUGCGAAGGUGACCUGUGAGGGUUGCUGGAGGUAUCAGAAGUGCGAAUGCUGACAUAAGUAACGAUAAAGCGGGUGAAAAGCCCGCUCGCCGGAAGACCAAGGGUUCCUGUCCAACGUUAAUCGGGGCAGGGUGAGUCGACCCCUAAGGCGAGGCCGAAAGGCGUAGUCGAUGGGAAACAGGUUAAUAUUCCUGUACUUGGUGUUACUGCGAAGGGGGGACGGAGAAGGCUAUGUUAGCCGGGCGACGGUUGUCCCGGUUUAAGCAUGUAGGCUGGUUAUCCAGGCAAAUCCGGAUAAUCAAGGCUGAGGUGUGAUGACGAGGCACUACGGUGCUGAAGUAACAAAUGCCCUGCUUCCAGGAAAAGCCUCUAAGCAUCAGGUAACAUCAAAUCGUACCCCAAACCGACACAGGUGGUCAGGUAGAGAAUACCAAGGCGCUUGAGAGAACUCGGGUGAAGGAACUAGGCAAAAUGGUGCCGUAACUUCGGGAGAAGGCACGCUGGUGUGUAGGUGAAGUCCCUGCGGAUGGAGCUGAGACCAGUCGAAGAUACCAGCUGGCUGCAACUGUUUAUUAAAAACACAGCACUGUGCAAACACGAAAGUGGACGUAUACGGUGUGACGCCUGCCCGGUGCCGGAAGGUUAAUUGAUGGGGUUAUCCGUAAGGAGAAGCUCUUGAUCGAAGCCCCGGUAAACGGCGGCCGUAACUAUAACGGUCCUAAGGUAGCGAAAUUCCUUGUCGGGUAAGUUCCGACCUGCACGAAUGGCGUAAUGAUGGCCAGGCUGUCUCCACCCGAGACUCAGUGAAAUUGAACUCGCUGUGAAGAUGCAGUGUACCCGCGGCAAGACGGAAAGACCCCGUGAACCUUUACUAUAGCUUGACACUGAACAUUGAGCCUUGAUGUGUAGGAUAGGUGGGAGGCUUUGAAGCGUGGACGCCAGUCUGCGUGGAGCCAACCUUGAAAUACCACCCUUUAAUGUUUGAUGUUCUAACGUUGGCCCCUUACCGGGGUUGCGGACAGUGUCUGGUGGGUAGUUUGACUGGGGCGGUCUCCUCCCAAAGCGUAACGGAGGAGCACGAAGGUUAGCUAAUCCUGGUCGGACAUCAGGAGGUUAGUGCAAUGGCAUAAGCUAGCUUGACUGCGAGCGUGACGGCGCGAGCAGGUGCGAAAGCAGGUCAUAGUGAUCCGGUGGUUCUGAAUGGAAGGGCCAUCGCUCAACGGAUAAAAGGUACUCCGGGGAUAACAGGCUGAUACCGCCCAAGAGUUCAUAUCGACGGCGGUGUUUGGCACCUCGAUGUCGGCUCAUCACAUCCUGGGGCUGAAGUAGGUCCCAAGGGUAUGGCUGUUCGCCAUUUAAAGUGGUACGCGAGCUGGGUUUAGAACGUCGUGAGACAGUUCGGUCCCUAUCUGCCGUGGGCGCUGGAGAAUUGAGGGGGGCUGCUCCUAGUACGAGAGGACCGGAGUGGACGCAUCACUGGUGUUCGGGUUGUCAUGCCAAUGGCACUGCCCGGUAGCUAAAUGCGGAAGAGAUAAGUGCUGAAAGCAUCUAAGCACGAAACUUGCCCCGAGAUGAGUUCUCCCUGAGACUUUAAGUCUCCUGAAGGAACGUUAAAGACGAUGACGUUGAUAGGCCGGGUGUGUAAGCGCAGCGAUGCGUUGAGCUAACCGGUACUAAUGAACCGUGAGGCUUAACCUUACAACGCCGAAG
rnacentral:rRNA from 1 species